rnacentral:rRNA from 1 species
GUCUACAUCUGUAUCACCCUGAACGCACCUAAUCUCAUCUGGUCUCAAAAGCUAAGCAGGGUCAGGGCUGGUUAGUACUUAGAUGAAAGACAGACCUUCAGAAGAGACUGCUCAGAGACAAGCAAUUUGGAGACA